rnacentral:lncRNA from 1 species
CCUUGCUCGGGCCUGCUCCCAACCUAUGGAGUGUGCUUUCAUUUUCAGUAAAUCUCUACUUUCGUUGCUUCAUUCUUCCCUUGUUUUGUUUGUGCGUUUUGUCCAAUUCUUUGUUCAAGAUGACAAGAACCUGGACACCCUCCACCGGUACAGCUGCCUAAUGUCACGGAGAUGAGCCAGCCUAUCAGCUAAAAACAGGCUAUAAGGAGAAGAAAGUUGCCUGAAAACCAGGAGGAGUACUCGCACCUGAGGCUUGAUCUGCUGAUGCCUCAGUCUUGGACUUCCCAGCCU